UACGUAGGGGGCGAGCGUUGUCCGGAUUCAUUGGGCGUAAAGAGCUCGUAGGCGGCUUGUCGCGUCGUCCGUGAAAACCAGGGGCUCAACCCCUGGCUUGCGGUCGAUACGGGCAGGCUAGAGUUCGGUAGGGGAGACUGGAAUUCCUGGUGUAGCGGUGAAAUGCGCAGAUAUCAGGAGGAACACCGGUGGCGAAGGCGGGUCUCUGGGCCGAAACUGACGCUGAGGAGCGAAAGCGUGGGGAGCAAACAGG
rnacentral:rRNA from 1 species